ACUAUAGACAAGGUUACCAGAACGGUAUC
rnacentral:piRNA from 1 species